UUGUCCCCGGCGCACAAUGGACGUAUCUAUUAGUAUUUGCAUUUCACUGAAAGCAAUCUACAUUGCAAACUCGCUUAUGUAAUACGGCCGGUUACAAUAGGAAUCCUGGUGUGCACUCGAUCGACUGUAUUGAGGAUUACGAUUGAUUCCCGAAAUCCAAUGUUAUUUGCGGGAUUCUGUGGGCUUUGAUAAGUGUUGAUAGUCCAUUUGCUAUUGAUGAGCCUUUGGAAUGCUUUAGUUAAAAAAUCGUGAUCAUUUAUUGGUACUAAACAAGUAACAGUGAAGGAAAACAUCGUGAGGAAACCUGCAUACCUGAGAAAUUCUUUAUAGGAAUUUUGGUGUGUGAAGUCUACCAAUCCGCACUAGGCGAGCGUGGUGGACUAAGGUCUAAUCCCUCUCAGCAGUAAAGGAAGCCGUGUCCAGCUGCGGGAUAAUAUAAUACAGGGCUGAUAUUAUAUUAUUAAACAAAACCCUCCCUUGAAUAAUGUAAGAGUCAGAACACCUAAUUAAAACUUCGAUGCAGUGGAAGCCCACAAAAAGAUGUCGCGGGGCUGAUGUAGGUAUCCGGAACAUAUUUAACUAGGAAUAAAUAGAAUAGCAUAAACACAGCGCGGUUGCGGCGUGUGUAGUGCGGCGGCGGCGACGACAACCCAUAAAUUUGAAUGGUCAAGUGGGUUUGGACGUGGGCCAGGGGUUGCAAACAUUUCCCUGGAGUUAGAAGUAGAUUUGUUUUUGUGUGAUUCACGUAUACGAAUAGGAUUUAUUUGAGUUUUUUAGCUUUGCCAAUAAAUGUUAUAUAAUGCCUUAAAUCUAGUAGUGUGGAUAAAAUGAUUGACAAUUCGCUGUAAUUUUGAAAAAUCCAUUAAAUUGCAUAACCUGUUUAUAAUUUACAUGUAAUGAGUAAAAUAACAUUAAUAACUACAAAUAUUACAUUGUAGGCGAACAGAAUAUUUGUAAGGGUCAUAUUAACCUUAGAUAUGAUAUAAAAUUUUCAUAGUUAAAUAAUUUCAUGCAUGUAUGUCCUAUAUUUAAAAUUUAAUAAUAUACCAAAGGAUAUUCACCGAAAUCGCUAGAAAAAUCAAUUAUUACGCAACUCACACGAUAAAUUUUCAUAUUAAGUAACUUUUUCAAAUAAAAAAAAAAUCCAAAUGUUGAGCACCCCUGUCGCAUUCAAAGCCGCGGCGCCCAGAGCUGUUAUAUCAUGCACAAGUCGAUUCGCACACCAAAAUACGUUCUAAAUAGAUACAGCCACCCAAACGUCCAAGGUAUUUGUAUGAAAACAAUACAAAACUCCAGUGUGGUAUGGCAAAUUUUAUAACAUACAACGGUUUUCUUAUGAGUUUAGUUAUUUUUAUUCGAGUUUUAAAUUGAAUUCUUGGACUAUAUUUUUAUAUUGAAUGGCUGGACUAUUGAAAAAGAUUUGCGAAGACAGUUAGGAAAUUAUCACGUGGGGACCGUAGCAGUAUUACUAUAUAGUAUAUAGUAUACUAUAUAGUAUUCUUAAAAUCUAUACAUAUUAUUAAGCAAAGUCCCCUUUUCUGUCUGUACGUAUAUUAUCGUUUUACCCAAAAUUUACUAAACGGAUUUUUAUGUCAUUUGGUAUGGAGAUAGUUUAACACCCUGGG
rnacentral:lncRNA from 1 species